UAUCGAUCUACCCGCGACGUUCCGUCCA
rnacentral:sRNA from 1 species